GGCCGAUGCGACUGCGGGUAGGUCGCCGCACUUUCACCGCGGAGGACCGGGUUCGAGUCCCGGGUCGGCUG
rnacentral:tRNA from 1 species